rnacentral:rRNA from 1 species
UACGUAGGGGGCUAGCGUUGUCCGGAAUCAUUGGGCGUAAAGAGCGUGUAGGCGGUCCGGUAAGUCCGCUGUGAAAGUCGGGGGCUCAACCCUCGAAUGCCGGUGGACACUGUCGGGCUAGAGUACGGAAGAGGCGAGUGGAAUUCCUGGUGUAGCGGUGAAAUGCGCAGAUAUCAGGAGGAACACCUAUUGCGAAGGCAGCUCGCUGGGACGUAACUGACGCUGAGACGCGAAAGCGUGGGGAGCAAACAGG